rnacentral:miRNA from 1 species
CAGUCAGGACUGCCCUGCCAC